AAAACGGCCCUUUUCAGGGCCAUCAAUAUUAUCCAUAUAUUACUG
rnacentral:ncRNA from 1 species